UGGGGAAUAUUGCACAAUGGAGGGAACUCUGAUGCAGCGACGCCGCGUGAGUGAUGAAGGACUUCGUUUCGUAAAACUCUGUUCUAUGGGAAGAAAAGGACUGUAUCAUAGGAGAAAGCUCCGGCUAAAUACGUGCCAGCAGCCGCGGUAAUACGUAUGGAGCGAGCGUUGUCCGGAAUUAUUGGGCGUAAAGGGUGCGCAGGCGGCUUUACAAGUUGGAUGUGAAAUAUUGUGACUCAACCACAAACGUGCAUCCAAAACUGCAAAGCUUGAGUUAAGGAGAGGUAAGUCGAAUUCCUGGUGUAGCGGUGGAAUGCGUAGAUAUCAGGAGGAAUACCGGUGGCGAAGGCGACUUACUGGACUUAAACUGACGCUCAGGCACGAAAGCGUGGGGAGCAAACAGG
rnacentral:rRNA from 1 species